UACGUAGGGUGCAAGCGUUGUCCGGAAUCAUUGGGCGUAAAGCGCGCGUAGGCGGCCCGAUAAGUCCGCUGUUAAAGUCAACGGCUCAACUGUUGAAAGCCGGUGGAUACUGCCGGGCUAGAGUACGGAAGAGGCAAGUGGAAUUCCUGGUGUAGCGGUGGAAUGCGCAGAUAUCAGGAGGAACACCUAUGGCGAAGGCAGCUUGCUGGGACGUUACUGACGCUGAGGCGCGAAAGCGUGGGGAGCGAACAGG
rnacentral:rRNA from 1 species